rnacentral:rRNA from 1 species
GUGGAUUAGAUACCCUGGUAGUCCACGCCGUAAACGGUGGGUACUAGGUGUGGGUUUCCUUCCACGGGAUCCGUGCCGUAGCUAACGCAUUAAGUACCCCGCCUGGGGAGUACGGCCGCAAGGCUAAAACUCAAAGGAAUUGACGGGGGCCCGCACAAGCGGCGGAGCAUGUGGAUUAAUUCGAUGCAACGCGAAGAACCUUACCUGGGUUUGACAUACACCGGAAACCUGCAGAGAUGUAGGCCCCCUUGUGGUCGGUGUACAGGUGGUGCACGGCCGUCGCCAACU